AGAGUUUGAUCCUGGCUCAGAUUGAACGCUGGCGGCAUGCCUUACACAUGCAAGUCGAACGGCAGCGGACCUUCGGGUGCCGGCGAGUGGCGAACGGGUGAGUAAUAUAUCGGAACGUGCCUUUCAGUGGGGGAUAACGUAGCGAAAGUUACGCUAAUACCGCAUAUUCUCUGAGGAGGAAAGUAGGGGACCUUCGGGCCUUGCGCUGAUAGAGCGGCCGAUAUCAGAUUAGCUAGUUGGUGGGGUAAAGGCCUACCAAGGCGACGAUCUGUAGCGGGUCUGAGAGGAUGAUCCGCCACACUGGGACUGAGACACGGCCCAGACUCCUACGGGAGGCAGCAGUGGGGAAUUUUGGACAAUGGGCGAAAGCCUGAUCCAGCCAUGCCGCGUGAGUGAAGAAGGCCUUCGUUU
rnacentral:rRNA from 1 species